UGCCCAGCAACUCCUAUCCCUACCUCCUCGUGGUACCGGCCGGAAACUACGAGCAACCUUAGGGAAGAUCGGGUAACCAACCCCGGUGGGAACUUUGGUCGUAGGCUGACAUGGAAAGG
rnacentral:ribozyme from 1 species